UAAAGAGAAAUAGAAUGUGGCUCUGGAAACAAAAUCAGAUCUGCAUCACAUCAAUAGGAAAUAAGUCACUUCAGUCUAGUAAUCUGACCAUUGUGUUAAGUCCAGCUCACAUUCUCAUCCUUCCAUUUGUUCAAAAACAAACAUUUAAAAAGAUAUUAGAAGAAGGCAUGUAGAUCAUGGAAACCAUCCACUAAGCUUUAUUUUGUCUCUGUUUUACAAAUGUCUGGAGGAACAACCACAGUUAAGGACUGAGAGGAGAAUUCACUGAUUAUUGGCUACUACAACUGUGACAUUUGUGUUAAAUAUGGGCAAAAUGUUUCAUUGUCUGACGGGAUCUCAGAGGUUAUUGUUUAUUAAUCAUUCAGUUUUCACGCCUUUUUCAUGUGUCGUAUAGAGCAGUCUAACAGGAGAACAUCCCUACAGAUCCAGAGAGACGCUGGAGGUGAAUCACUACUGCUAUGAAACAGCAGAAGAAGAACGAUGGGAACAAACACAAGCAUCAUGUUUUGUGCACAACUGACAGGCCCACUCCACCGCUGACUUCCACCCCUCCACGGUGCUCACUGCUGGGGCUGCAGCUGGGACUCGGCUCACGGGACAAGUGUGAAUGUUUGUAAUGUCAGACUGAAGGGCCUGUUGAAAGCCUGAAUGUUGUCCAAAGAGAACCAGUGCUCACAAAAGGGAACGCUCAGUGAACGUGCUGCCAGGGGAAACAGAGCUGAGCGGCAGUGUCGGGUCCAGGUUCUGCUCCUCACAGGCUCCUCCUCCAUGUCUGACAUGCCAGACGUGAUACGCAUACGGUCAAUUCUGCCUGAAUGACAUUCUUAUGCUUUUCAUGAGAAAAGCAUAAGAUAUGACGGGAAUAAGGAACUUCACAGCUCUCUGGUUGAAAUGUGAUUCAAGGUCUGACAUCAUUUCAAAGACAAAAUCAGUGGUGAAACCUGUCACUGAUAAUUCCAUCAUGUGUGUUCAGUGAGACCACCACAUUCACACAUGACUGCAGCACCCUGACUCUCUGGAUGAUACCUACUGGAAGCUUGGUGCUUUAUGCUCAACAACAUGACCUGGGAAAGCAUCAAUUAAUACUCGGUCACUCUGGAAGAAGAAGAUAAGAUAAGAAGAAUCUUUAGGUUUCAGUCCAGCUGAAUUAGUUUCUGGCCACACAGUGCAGCUCGGUCCAUUGCAGAUUUUCUUUCUGAGAAAUCCAGUGAUCCAAGAGUAAAAAUGUGUUGGAUUUUGUGAGUUCUUUCAAAGAGUGACUACAUCAUGGUUGUAGCAUGGCCCGUGAUUCACUCUCUGCAGCCCAGACAAAAAUAAAGUCAGUUUUUGAUAAAGUCUGUAAGUCUAUAAAAGUCUAGUAUUGUGUGCCAUGUUAACAUGCUUAAAAUAUGUGUUGAUUGUGAAAAUAAUACUGGUCCGUCUUCUGUUGCACCCAUCGCAUCUGUGUCUGUUGCUCAGCCUGCGGUUUCAUAACGUCUCAGUGAUAAUGGCCUGGAUGACAGACACGGCUCUGCCUUGUGCACUCGUUUAAGUGAAUCAAACAUUUCUUUUAGGGGUGAAAUGUUCUGUAGAAAUGUCCGGUAGCAGGGGUUUCUAAGUUAUGAGCUGAGGUUUUUCUGUCAUUUAUUUUGUAUUUUCUUUACUAGAGGUGAGAUUAAGUUUAUUAGAGAAGUUUUUAUUUGUUACUUUGGCAUUGCUCUUCUCUGAAGUGAAUUAAGAUGCUACACUUCAAAGUCAAACAGACUUUUGACUUUUUUGGCUUUCUUUGGAGAGAGGAGUUGGAAGACACACGUUACCCCCUGGUUUCCCUAGGCCAGGGAUGUAACUGAUGAGAUAGACUUAGAAUAAGGCUUUCAAAAGAGAAAUGUUCACGUUUGGGGUUGAUUAUAGUCUGGUAUUAAAACAUUUUAAUUAACGUAAUCUUCUUUGUGUAACCAAAUUUCAGUUUGACAGAAUAAAUCAACAUGAUUGUCAGUAAUUAGAUUAUUUAAAACAGAUUUUGAGAAGAGUGUGUAUAAAUAUAGGUCACUAUAUUCAAUAGUCCACAUUUGAAAGUGGUAUUCUUGGAAUCUGUUUCAUUAUUGGUGUUAAUUAAAUUGGAAUUCUAACUCC